GCUCAGUAACACGUGGAUAAUCUACCCUUAGGACCGGGAUAACCCCGGGAAACUGGGGCUAAUACUGGAUAGGCAAUUAUUCCUGCAAUGGUUUUUUGUUUAAAUGUUUUUUCGCCUAAGGAUGAGUCUGCGGCCGAUUAGGUAGUUGGUUAGGUAAUGGCUUACCAAGCCGUUGAUCGGUACGGGUUGUGAGAGCAAGAGCCCGGAGAUGGAACCUGAGACAAGGUUCCAGGCCCUACGGGGUGCAGCAGGCGCGAAACCUCCGCAAUGUGAGAAAUCGCGACGGGGGGAUCCCAAGUGCCAUUCUUAACGGGAUGGCUUUUCAUUAGUGUAAAGAGCUUUUGGAAUAAGAGCUGGGCAAGACCGGUGCCAGCCGCCGCGGUAACACCGGCAGCUCUAGUGGUAACAAUUUUUAUUGGGCCUAAAGCGUCCGUAGCCGGUUUAAUAAGUCUCUGGUGAAAUCCUGUAGCUUAACUGUGGGAAUUGCUGGAGAUACUAUUAGACUUGAGACCGGGAGAGGUUAGAGGUACUCCCAGGGUAGAGGUGAAAUUCUGUAAUCCUGGGAGGACCGCCUGUUGCGAAGGCGUCUAGCUGGAACGGAUCCGACGGUGAGGGACGAAGCCCUGGGUCGCAAACGGGAUUAGAUACCCCGGUAGUCCAGGGUGUAAACGCUGCAGACUUGGUGUUGGGGACCCUUCGGGGGUGUUCAGUGCCGGAGAGAAGUUGUUAAGUCUGCUACUUGGGGAGUACGUCCGCAAGGAUGAAACUUAAAGGAAUUGGCGGGGGAGCAC
rnacentral:rRNA from 1 species